rnacentral:rRNA from 1 species
UGGGGAAUAUUGGACAAUGGGGGCAACCCUGAUCCAGCCAUGCCGCGUGAGUGAUGAAGGCCUUCGGGUUGUAAAGCUCUUUUGGUGGGGACGAUGAUGACGGUACCCACAGAAUAAGCUCCGGCUAACUUCGUGCCAGCAGCCGCGGUGAUACGAAGGGAGCUAGCGUUGUUCGGAAUUACUGGGCGUAAAGGGCGCGUAGGCGGUCCGGCCAGUCAGAUGUGAAAGCCCUGGGCUUAACCCGGGAAUUGCGUUUGAUACUACCGGACUUGAAUUCGGGAGAGGUUGGUAGAAUUCCCAGUGUAGAGGUGAAAUUCGUAGAGAUUGGGAAGAAUACCCGUGGCGAAGGCGGCCAACUGGACCGACAUUGACGCUGAGGCGCGAAAGCGUGGGGAGCAAACA